rnacentral:rRNA from 1 species
UGAGGAAUCUGUCCAUCGGCGGGGGAUAGCCGGCCCAACGGCCGGGUAAUACCGCGUACGUCGGCGAGAGCGCAUGCUCCUGCCGGGAAAGCAGCAAUGCACCGAUGGAGGAUCUCGCGGCCUAUCAGCUUGUUGGUGAGGUCACGGCUCACCAAGGCGACGACGGGUAGCUGGUCUGAGAGGAUGAUCAGCCACAUUGGGACUGAGACCAGGCCCGGUA